rnacentral:misc_RNA from 1 species
GAUGAAGAACGUAGCGAAAUGCGAUAAGUAAUGUGAAUUGCAGAAUUCAGUGAAUCAUCGAAUCUUUGAACGCACAUUGCGCCCAUUAGUAUUCUAGUGGGGAUGCCUGUUCGAGCGUCAUUAAGUCCACUUAAGCCCUGCUUAGUGUUGGGAGACUGCUCCAGCGGUGCUACCCUGUAGCUACCCUGCAGCUCCUCAAAGACAGCGGCGGAGUUGUGGUAUCCUCUGAGCUUAGUAACUUGUUCUAGCUUUCGAGUACACCACUUCCCCUGCCGUAAAACCCUUAAUUUUUAAUGGUUGACCUCGGAUCAGGUAGGAAUACCCGCUGAACUUAAGCAUAUCAAUAAGCGGAGGA